rnacentral:rRNA from 1 species
AUGCCGCGGUGAAUACGUUCCCGGGCCUUGUACACACCGCCCGUCACACCACCGGAGUUUGCAACACCCGAAGUCGGUGAGGUAACCGCAAGGAGCCAGCCGCCGAAGGUGGGGUAGAUGACUGGGGUGAAGUCGUAACAAGGUAUCCGUACCGGAAGGUGCGGAUGGAUCACCUCCUUUCU